rnacentral:piRNA from 1 species
UAUAACUAACUCCAAGGAUGGCCUGGAAU